ACCAAAUUAAGCUACUGUAAACUACAAUCAGUUGCGCAGCAAGAACUGAAGAUAAUACGAUCUACGAAAGGAGAGAGUAAAGCCCCAGAAAAACAACUUGAUGCUAAAGAAAUACAAGAACCAUUAGAAUAUUGAAAAUAAAGCAGUCUCCAAUUGAAGCCUUUCAAUAAAUCUGUGGGGAAAUUUUUUUAAAAAUCACCACGAAAGUAAGAAGAACUACUAAUCCAGACAGAAGCAACCUGAUACAAAAAAAAAGACAAGAAGCUCUGGGCUUUGGUCAAAAGUACCUGCUUUGGGAAUGAAAAGAAUUCAACAGCUAUCCUAGCCUUUUCUACUACCAACUUCCCCUGGUUUGCCUCUACAGUCUGACCUACUUCUGAUAUUAUUUCAGAGGUUUUAACAGAAGCACAAUAUGAGGCUAGCAGAAAUCCUGUAAUGGCAAAUAACUUCCAAAAUCUUGCCAAGAAAGCAGAAGUGACUUGUCCAUACAAUCUCCAGGA